UGACCCUGACAAUGGGCCAGGGGCGGGGAGGAUCCUCCCAGGGAAACCCGAUCCCGGCAGCGCUCCUCGCGGCCGCCCAGGUGAUAGGGACGCAGGCGCGCCUACCUGGCCUCCCUCCGCCCCUCCCUCCCUCCGCCCCUCGGACGCACUCAGGGCUACGCAGGAAGCCAGGGAGCCUUGGCAGGAAAGUGUAUAGUCCUUCACUGUAGUCCUUCAAGGAGCAGCAUGAAAUCAAGUUUAAAAGGGAGAGAAACUGUGUAGAAGAGAAGAAAAGUGUCUGAAAUGAACUUGCUUUCCCUGUUGACAUGAGUUUGAACGUCAGUGAUGCUGUUAUGGUAACAUACACAUAUAUUUUCAAACAGAAUGAUGGAUCCAGUUCCCUUUCCAGAAAAAAGGAAGUCAUGUAAGAAAAAUGCUACAUGUUAACUUCUCUAUUUAAAUUGAAAUGCCACCCUUCCAAAUGUUUCUAAACAUUAAAGGCUGUGCCAUCAAAACAGAAGCCCAUCAAGGAUUUUGCAAGGGUUCAGUUACAUAAAUUCAUAACAAAGCACACAAUGCUCUCAUGGAUUGACAGUAGACUCUCAGUUAACUGGCACCCAAGAGGAAUGGUAGAAGCUGGAUAAAUAUAGUUUCAGGUUGCUUGAGAGUAACUAUUAAAAUAGGUCUCACUAAUACUAUACCUCCUACUAUUUUGUACCAUAAACUCUUUAUUGACUUGAUAUUGAUAUUGAAAUGCAGUAAUUCAAAGCAAAUAAUGACAAAUUUAACUCAACAUAACACGGUAGGCUGUGUUACUGUUUAAUAAAAACAGGAUUUUUUUAUUUAAA